rnacentral:rRNA from 1 species
GACGAACGCUGGCGGCGUGCUUAACACAUGCAAGUCGAACGAAGUGGCGAACGGGUGAGUAACGCGUAAUCAACCUGCCCUUCAGAGGGGGACAACAGUUGGAAACGACUGCUAAUACCGCAUACUGAAGGAGGGGAUUGCGUCUGAUUAGCUAGUUGGGGGGGUAACGGCCCACCAAGGCGAUGAUCAGGAGCCGGGCUGGUAUGAUGGACGGCCCAAUUGGGACUGGGACACGGCCCAGAAUCCGAAGGGAGGCAGCAGUGGGGAAUCUUCCGCAAUGGACGAAAGUCUGACGGGGCAACGCCGCGUGAGUGAUGACGGCCUUCGGGUUGUAAAGCUCUGUUAAUCGGGACGCGGUACCGGAAUAGAAAGCCACGGCUAACUACGUGCCAGCAGCCGCGGUAAUUC